AUACGAACCGGACAAACGUUAUUCGGAAUUAUUGGGCUUAAAGGGUGCGUAGGCGGCGCGGUAAGUGAGGUGUGAAAGCCCACGGCUCAACCGUGGAAUUGCGCGUCAUACUGCCGUGCUAGAGGGAGACAGAGGUAAGCGGAACUGAUGGUGGAGCGGUGAAAUGCGUUGAUAUUAUCAGGAACACCGGUGGCGAAAGCGGCUUACUGGGUCUCUUCUGACGCUGAGGCACGAAAGCUAGGGUAGCGAACGGGAUUAGAAACCCGAGUAGUCC
rnacentral:rRNA from 1 species